GACGAACGCUGGCGGCGUGCUUAACACAUGCAAGUCGAACGGAAAGGCCCUGCUUUUGUGUGGUGCUCGAGUGGCGAACGUGUGAGUAACACGUGAGUAUCCUGCCCUUUACUUUGGGAUAUCUUCAGGAAACUGGUGCUAAUACCGGAUAGGAGCUCCUGCUGCAUGUUGGGGGUUGGAAAGUUUCGGCGGUUGGUGAUGGACUCGCGGCUUAUCAGCUUGUUUGUGGAGUAGUGGCUUACCAAGGGUUUGACGGGUAGCCGGCCUGAGAGGGUGACCGGCCAAAUUGGGACUGAGAUACGGACCAGAAGGCAACGGGAGGCAGCAGGGGGGAAUAGUGCACAAUGGGAGGAAGCCUGAUGCAGCAACGCCGCGUGCGGGAUGACGGCCUUCGGGUUGUAAACAGAUUUCGCAUGUGACGAAGCGUGAGUGACGGUAAUGGGUAAAGAAGCACCGGCUAACUACGUG
rnacentral:rRNA from 1 species